UACGAAGGGGGCUAGCGUUGCUCGGAAUUACUGGGCGUAAAGGGCGCGUAGGCGGUCAUUUUAGUCAGGCGUGAAAUUCCCGGGCUUAACCUGGGGACUGCGCUUGAUACUGGGUGACUAGAGGGUGGAAGAGGGUCGUGGAAUUCCCAGUGUAGAGGUGAAAUUCGUAGAUAUUGGGAAGAACACCGGUGGCGAAGGCGGCGACCUGGUCCAUUACUGACGCUGAGGCGCGACAGCGUGGGGAG
rnacentral:rRNA from 1 species